AUUGAACGCUGGCGGCAGGCCUAACACAUGCAAGUCGAGCGAGCGGCGGACGGGUGAGUAAUGUCUGGGAAACUGCCUGUUGGAGGGGGAUAACUACUGGAAACGGUAGCUAAUACCGCAUACCAUUCGAUCUGCCCGGAUGGGAUUGGCUGGUUGGUGGGGUACCGGCUCACCUCGGCGACGAUCCCUCGCUGGUCUGAGAGGAUGACCAGCAACACUGGAACUGAGACACGGACCAGACUCCUACGGGAGGCAGCAGUGGGGAAUAUUGAACAAUGGGCGCAAGACUGAUGCAGCCAUGCCGCGUGUGUGAAGAAGGCCUGCGGGUUGUAAAGCACUUUCAGCGGGGAGGCGUUACCCGCAGAAGAAGCACCGGCUAACUCCGUGCCAGCAGCCGCGGUAAUAC
rnacentral:rRNA from 1 species